UACGUAGGGAGCACGCGUUGUUCGGAUUUACUGGGCGUAAAGGGCGCGUAGGCGGCGCGGUAAGUCACUUGUGAAAUCUCUGAGCUUAACUCAGAACGGCCAAGUGAUACUGCAGUGCUAGAGUGCAGAAAGGGCAAUCGGAAUUCUUGGUGUAGCGGUGAAAUGCGUAGAUAUCAAGAGGAACACCUGAGGCGAAGGCGGGUUGCUGGGCCGACACUGACGCUGAGGCGCGAAAGCUAGGGGAGCGAACGGG
rnacentral:rRNA from 1 species